rnacentral:rRNA from 1 species
AUACGUAGGGGGCGAGCGUUGUCCGGAAUGAUUGGGCGUGAAGGGCGCGUAGGCGGCCCGGUAAGUCUGGAGUGAAAGUCCUGUUUUUAAGAUGGGAAUUGCUUUGGAUACUGUCGGGCUUGAGUGCAGGAGAGGUAAGUGGAAUUCCCAGUGUAGCGGUGAAAUGCGUAGAGAUUGGGAGGAACACCAGUGGCGAAGGCGACUUACUGGACUGUAACUGACGCUGAGGCGCGAAAGUGUGGGGAGCAAACAGGAUUAGAUACCCUGGUAGUCCACACUGUAAACGAUGAAUGCUAGGUGUAGGGGGUAUCGACCCCUUCUGUGCCGCAGUCAACACAAUAAGCAUUCCGCCUGGGGAGUACGGCCGCAAGGUUGAAACUCAAAGGAAUUGACGGGG